rnacentral:rRNA from 1 species
UACGUAGGGCGUAAGCGUUAUCCGGAAUUAUUGGGCGUAAAGAGCUCGUAGGCGGUUUGUCGCGUCUGCCGUGAAAGUCCGGGGCUCAACUCCGGAUCUGCGGUGGGUACGGGCAGACUAGAGUGAUGUAGGGGAGACUGGAAUUCCUGGUGUAGCGGUGAAAUGCGCAGAUAUCAGGAGGAACACCGAUGGCGAAGGCAGGUCUCUGGGCAUUAACUGACGCUGAGGAGCGAAAGCAUGGGGAGCGAACAGGAUUAGA